GUAGUCGCAGCUGCAGGUGCCUCUUUGUCCUAAAGGGUCAAGGAGUAAUCAGGACCAAACUAGAUUUAGCCAGUGAGUUUUCAAGGAGCGCCUUGAGAAGGGCCACUUGGCAUUCAUCUCCUCUGGCUGAGCGCACUGCAUCCUGCCUCAUCGGCCCAGGGGUGGAGAGGGAGAUCCUACCCUCAUGCGGUUCAUGGUCCAGUCAGCCAAGAGGCAAAGAGAGAGACAGCGAGAGAGGGAACACAAGCAGGGGGAGUG